rnacentral:lncRNA from 1 species
GAACUUCUGCAUGCUGCAGGCAUGGCCAAACAAAACAAAAUACAAAAGUCCAACCAUAUGCUCUUUAUGAGAGAGACAUCUAAAACAUAUGGAUACCAGUAGAUUGAAAUAAUGGAAUUAAGUUACACCGUGGUAGGUAUUAUUACAUAAAACUUAAGGCAGAAUGCAUUACUAAGAGUAAAGGUCAUUGUAUAAUAAAAAUUCCCAAUCACCAGAAGUAUCUACUAAUUCUAGAUUCUACUUACGACUUCAAAACACAUGAAGCAAAAAUUGGUCAUCUACAAGGAGAAAUAUAUAAAUGUACAAUCACGGCGAGAGAUUUUAACACAUUAAAAUCCCGAGGGCAAUCCUUACCUCGUGCAGGAUGAGAACCAAGCAGUAGAAAAAUAAUCACCAUGUCACCCUCAAGUGGUGAUUCUACAUGGCUCUUCAGACAGUCCCCAGAAAAGUAAAGCCCAUUUCCUCUCAGCAGAGAUCAGCUCAGUAGAACAUUGAAUUGGAUUGUCUUCCUUCCUUGUCUUGCUCUCCCCAGACCCCGUUCUUUUUCCCUUGGACUCAUCCCAGAGUAAAUUCUUGCAUGCAAAGUACUUCUCUCAACCCUGCUACUUUGUGGACCCAGGCUAAGACACUUGGUGAUACAAGCAGUUCUACAAACAAACCGUCCAAAUGGAUUCUAGUAUUGGACCAACUGGAUCCAGUAAGGAUCCCAGUCAUGUUGGUAAAUGGGGUGACAUUAACCCUUGGCACGCAGCAGCAUCACAGUUGCUGAGGUUUUCACCAGCAGUGAAUUGGAAUGGUGAAUUCGGAAGAUGAGGCAUUGCUUUAUGUAGUGGCAAUUCAUAAAAAAAUACGUGGUCAAUGUUAAUUAUAGGGAAUGUAGAGCUGGCUGACUCUGGUUGCUGGUCUUUAGAAGUCUUGUGAGAGGAGAGGAAAAUGGCAGCUUGAUUGGCCAACUGUCAACCUCAAGGAAUGCUGUGCAACUGGGAAAGUUUCCAGGACAACAGAGAAAUGUCCCUCUCCCCCCAACAGCCCUAGGAAGAUAGUUGCCAUUCAUCCUAGGCUUUAAUUGUGAGUACAGCUCGGUUACCAAGGAGAACACAGCCUUAAGGAGACUCUGAGGUCAGUGUCAGGGCCCAGCUAAGGAAACAGCAGACCUUGAGACAUGGGGUAAGGGUAUUUGAAUGGACAAAUCUGAGACCCUUGAACCCCACAUUCCUCUGAUCCCAGGAACUGUCCCUCCUCUUUCCUGGAGAAGGAAUGAUCUUCCCUGGCUGCAGACACUGCGAAGACACCACUAGAGGCAGGAGCUUCACAAGGUGGGGUUCGUCCUAAGAUCUGCCUCUACCUCCUUUGUUUCCUCCAGACCAGCCAUCAAGUCAGGCGCAGCCCAAGCAAGAUGAUCCAGCUCCUCCUUUCGGGAGAUACCGUGUGUACUCCAAGGGUCGAAAGUGUUGGUUAACAGGCACUAAAGGUGAACCAGAGACCUCAUGUUGGACUGGGUCUUAAGGAGCAGCCAAGGAAAGAUGCCUCCUUGUGUUUCAGUUUCUUCAACUGGCAAAUCUGAUUACGAGUGCCUGUCCAACCUACUUUAUAUACUUAUUAGAGUAAAUGAAGAAAUUAAUAUUAUAGUGAACUCUGCUAGGGACUGUACUAGGCACUUCACGUAAAUUAUUUAAUUAGGAUAAAAUUGGGCACGUGUAAACACUUAAUCUAGUUCUAAACUUGUUUAGAACACAAACACAACAUUGUAAUCAACUACACGCCAAUACUUUUUUUAAAAGAAGACUUAAAUGUGUUAUUUUUAAUAGCAUGCCCUAGGAAAAAUGCAGAUUUGUGAAACCUUGUUGCCUAAAAGGAAAGAAGAAAAGGAAGCCGGUGUUUCAAAAACUCAGACAUAUUAGAAUAUGGCAUUGAGUAAGCUGUUGUCUUGUUUGGGGGAAGGUGGACCAUCUGAAGAGGGCUUUAGGGACAGUUCUAGUCAUUGACCUUGGGAGAAGCAGGGUAGAAACAGUGCUGCUGCGGAAGCUGAGAGAGCAGUUCUGUGUCCAGUGGAGCACAGUGAACUCCUGGGUGGCACCUGUGGUGUCUUGGGUAACGCAUGGCCUCCCACCCAGACUGCCUCGGUUGGAAUCCCAGCUCUGGCGCUCAGCCCACUGGGGGAUAUUGGACAGGUAGUUACAAAACUCCAUUUUAUGGAGUUCCCUGGUGGCACAGCAGGUGAAGAAUUUGACCUUGGUAGUGCUGCAGCUCAGGUCACUGGUGUGGCAUGGGUUCCACCUCUGGCCUGGGAACUUCCGUAUGCCGGGGACACGG